rfam:Micromonospora rhizosphaerae strain DSM 45431 genome assembly, contig: Ga0070624_12
GGUCCGACACCGCCGAGUCGCCUCCGGGCGAGCCGGGGACCCAGGUACCUGGGGUGAAUCCGCAGCAGUGCGGUAGGGCGGCUCCCUUCUCGCCCGAACCCGUCAGCUAACCCGGUAGGCGGUCAGCGAAGAAGGA